rnacentral:rRNA from 1 species
UACGUAGGUGGCAAGCGUUGUCCGGAUUUACUGGGCGUAAAGGGUGCGCAGGCGGAUCUGUAAGUCAGAGGUGAAAUCUCACAGCUUAACUGUGAAACUGCCUUUGAUACUGCAGAUCUUGAGUUCGGGAGAGGUUGAUGGAAUUCCAGGUGUAGCGGUGAAAUGCGUAGAUAUCUGGAAGAACACCAGUGGCGAAGGCGGUCAACUGGCCCGUAACUGACGCUCAGGCACGAAAGCGUGGGUAGCAAACAGG